rfam:Felis catus isolate Cinnamon breed Abyssinian chromosome B3, whole genome shotgun sequence.
GCCUGGGUGGCUCAGUCGGUUAAGCGUCCGACUUCGACUCAGAUCAUGAUCUGGUGGUUCGUGGGUUCAAACCCCACAUCGGGGCU